rnacentral:rRNA from 1 species
UUCGAUACUGGUGAGCUAGAGUAUGGGAGAGGAUGGUAGAAUUCCAGGUGUAGCGGUGAAAUGCGUAGAGAUCUGGAGGAAUACCGAUGGCGAAGGCAGCCAUCUGGCCUAAUACUGACGCUGAGGUACGAAAGCAUGGGGAGCAAACAGGAUUAGAUACCCUGGUAGUCCAUGCCGUAAACGAUGUCUACUAGCCGUUGGGGCCUUUGAGGCUUUAGUGGCGCAGCUAACGCGAUAAGUAGACCGCCUGGGGAG